GAUGAACGCUGGCGGCGUGCCUAAUACAUGCAAGUCGAGCGAACAGGUAAGGAGCUUGCUCCGUUGACGUUAGCGGCGGACGGGUGAGUAACACGUGGGUAACCUACCUAUAUGACUGGGAUAACUUCGGGAAACCGGAGCUAAUACCGGAUAAUAUUUCGAACCGCAUGGUUGGAUAGUGAAAGAUGGUUUUUCUAUCACUUAUAGAUGGACCCGCGCCGUAUUAGCUAGUUGGUAAGGUAACGGCUUACCAAGGCGACGAUACGUAGCCGACCUGAGAGGGUGAUAGGCCACACUGGAACUGAGACACGGUCCAGACUCCUACGGGAGGCAGCAGUAGGGAACCUGCCGCAGUGGGCGGGAGCCUUGCGGAGCAGCGCCGCGUGAGUGAUGAAGGCCUUCGGAUCGUAAAACUCUGUUAUUAGGGAAGAACAUACGUGUAAGUAACUGUGCACGUCUUGACGGUACCUAAUCAGAAAGCCCCGGCUAACUACGUG
rnacentral:rRNA from 1 species